UGCUGUGAAAAGCCCGGGGCUCAACCCCGGGUCUGCAGUGGGUACGGGCAGACUAGAGUGCAGUAGGGGAGACUGGAAUUCCUGGUGUAGCGGUGAAAUGCGCAGAUAUCAGGAGGAACACCGAUGGCGAAGGCAGGUNUCUGGGCUGUUACUGACGCUGAGGAGCGAAAGCAUGGGGAGCGAACAGGAUUAGAUACCCUGGUAGUCCAUGCCGUAAACGUUGGGCACUAGGUGUGGGGGACAUUCCACGUUUUCCGCGCCGUAGCUAACGCAUUAAGUGCCCCGCCUGGGGAGUACGGCCGCAAGGCUAAAACUCAAAGGAAUUGACGGGGGCCCGCACAAGCGGCGGAGCAUGCGGAUUAAUUCGAUGCAACGCGAAGAACCUUACCAAGGCUUGACAUUCACCGGACCGCCCCAGAGAUGGGGUUUCCCUUCGGGGCUGGUGGACAGGUGGUGCAUGGUUGUCGUCAGCUCGUGUCGUGAGAUGUUGGGUUAAGUCCCGCAACGAGCGCAACCCUCGUUCUAUGUUGCCAGCACGUGAUGGUGGGGACUCAUAGGAGACUGCCGGGGUCAACUCGGAGGAAGGUGGGGAUGACGUCAAAUCAUCAUGCCCCUUAUGUCUUGGGCUUCACGCAUGCUACAAUGGCCGGUACAAAGGGUUGCGAUACUGUGAGGUGGAGCUAAUCCCAAAAAGCCGGUCUCAGUUCGGAUUGAGGUCUGCAACUCGACCUCAUGAAGUCGGAGUCGCUAGUAAUCGCAGAUCAGCAACGCUGCGGUGAAUACGUUCCCGGGCCUUGUACACACCGCCCGUCAAGUCACGAAAGUUGGUAACACCCGAAGCCGGUGGCCUAACCCCUUGUGGGAGGAGCCUCGAAGUGACGC
rnacentral:rRNA from 1 species